CUAACUCUCUAAUAGCAUAUACAAAGUGUUUUAAAGUUGUUAUAGCUUUUUGAACAAUACUCCCUCCAUCCCAUUUUAAUAGACGUUUUAGGAGAGUUUUUUUUUUCCAAAAUAUUUGAUGCUCUACGAUCUCAAAAAUAUUUUGCCAUUUAUUUUCUUUCUCAACCCUUCCUUCUCUACCACUAUUAAUGUCUAUUGAGAACAGUUCCUGUUAGGAUGAUAUAAAAAAAAACAAGAAAUAAACUCUUUUUUCCUCUACAGGAUUCACUUUAAUGAGAAUGAUCUGAGAAUCCAUCUCCGACACCGGCGAUCGGACUGGUAAUUUCCUCCAAACCCAUGAAGAAAUCAUCACUCAGAGCGAGAGAGAAGAUCUGAACGGUCAGAUCCGGCCAAAUCGCAACUGAGUCACUCAUCACUCAGAGGUAGAUCCGGCCGAUGAUCUUCAAUGGAGCUAAAUGAUCUUCCCGAUCAGAGGUAGAUCCGGCCGAUGAUCUUCCCGGUCAUUAUUUCAGAUCCGGCGGGUGAAGGGUGAUCCGGCCGAUGAUCUUCAAUGGAGUAGAUCUUAAUUCUGGAGAGGGGGAGAGAGAAGACGAAGGCUUGCAAUGGAGAUAUUACGGAAUUUGGUUUUUAGCCGGUGAAUGGGAGAGAGAAGAUGAAGGCUUGCAAUGCUGUUUAAUUAAAAUUAAUUGGCAAUGGGAAUUAGAAGCAUUAAUGGGAUGAUAUAUUAAUUAAAGAUAAAAUUGUAUUCAUUCUUAAUUUACGUAAAAAUUUGUAAAACGUCUAUUAAAAUGGGAUGGAGGUAGUAUAUAAUUGAUGAUUUAUCUCAAAUUAAUUACCAAGAGUUAAGAAACAAAGGAGUAUAUGGAACCGAUAAAACAUUCCAUAUAAGUAUUUACAAGUUGCAGUUUAUUAGUACUAUUAAAAUCAAUAAAUUGUUUUGAGUAUCAAUAAUAGAGUGCAUUUAUUACUCCAACUCAAAUCACAUAAAGAGGG
rnacentral:lncRNA from 1 species